UUUUUUUUAAUUGCUUGUUAAAUUAGGAGUGGAUUCCUGCAGUCACGAAAGCUUCAAAUCAAGAUUGAACUGCCUCUACGGGGAGGGUUUCCACACAUCUGUUAGAGCUUUUAACAGACUGUGAAACAAGAAGGCUCACAUGAUCGAGUCUCUGACCUUUCUGAAGAGAUGCCACGGCCACAAGCAAGCGUCUGCCUCUGGAGCAACUCAUUGUCUUUGAAAUAGGGAGCACACUCGGAUAAUUAAUUCAGUUACAAGACAUACCACUUAAAAGUUACGUAUAGGAGAUACAUUCUUUCCAACACGAAUUAUAAUUUUGUAUUAUGUGUUGACGUAGAUUUUGUCGAAUGAGGACUAGAAAUGCACCUUGCUGAUUAACGUCUGGGUGUCCGUAACCAUGGGUUGAAGCAAGCCCGACUGCUGUUGAGACUGUCCACCAAUAAGGAUCCACAGGUGGCUUGCACUGAAUCAAUGAUGCACUCCCAGAAGGCUGUGCUAGUUAUAGUUUGUGUAAAACAUUCCGUUGUUUCGUGGAGAGAUCAAUAAAUGAAAGAUGUCAUGUCUGCUGAUUUGCUCAU